AAAGGGGGAAAGCCGGAGCACCCUCUGUUUGGCGAAAGCGUACCCCAAAUUCCCACCAAGCAUCUUGGAAUACAUCGCGGAAUAUUGGCAGCACCUCAAAGGCUCCCGUGGUCUGAGGAAAAGGAUCGAAAAUCAAAGAUCCAAAGUGGGUAGAAUCAUGGCUUUCCUUUCGUUUAUAACCAAGGGCCAGCCAAUCCUCCAGAAUUGGACUUUCCUUCCCAAUAUGUCCAGGAUAUACCAGUGGCCAGAGCAUCUGCAGAAUGGUGGAAAAGCGGAGAACACAGUGAAGACCUACCUGGUGAAUUUGUCCCAGUUCCUGGGCUACUUCAGGGACACCCCUCCCUCCUCAUCCAGGGUUCCAA